GACAGAGGAUGCAAGCGUUAUCCGGAAUGAUUGGGCGUAAAGCGUCUGUAGGUGGCUUUUCAAGUCCGCCGUCAAAUCCCAGGGCUCAACCCGUGGACAGGCGGUGGAAACUACCAAGCUGGAGUACGGUAGGGGCAGAGGGAAUUUCCGGUGGAGGCGGUGGAAAUGCAUUGGGAUCGGAAAGAACACCAACGGACGAAAGCACGUCAUGCUGGGCCGAACACUGACACUGGACGAGACGAAAGCUAGGGGAGCAAAUGGGA
rnacentral:rRNA from 1 species